AGAGUUUGAUCCUGGCUCAGAACGAACGCUGGCGGCAGGCUUAACACAUGCAAGUCGAACGCACCGCAAGGUGAGUGGCAGACGGGUGAGUAACGCGUGGGAACGUGCCCUUCAGUUCGGGAUAACCCAGGGAAACUUGGGCUAAUACCGGAUACGUGCGAGAGCAGAAAGAUUUAUCGCUGAAGGAUCGGCCCGCGUCUGAUUAGCUAGUUGGUAGGGUAAUGGCCUACCAAGGCGACGAUCAGUAGCUGGUCUGAGAGGAUGAUCAGCCACAUUGGGACUGAGACACGGCCCAAACUCCUACGGGAGGCAGCAGUGGGGAAUAUUGGACAAUGGGCGCAAGCCUGAUCCAGCCAUGCCGCGUGAGUGAUGAAGGCCUUAGGGUUGUAAAGCUCUUUCGGCGGGGACGAUAAUGACGGUACCCGCAGAAGAAGCCCCGGCUACUUCGUGCCAGCAGCCGCGGUAAUACGAAGGGGGCUAGCGUUGUUCGGAAUCACUGGGCGUAAAGGGCGCGUAGGCGGCCUGAUAAGUCGGGGGUGAAAGCCUGUGGCUCAACCACAGAAUUGCCUUCGAUACUGUCGGGCUUGAGACCGGAAGAGGUCAGUGGAACUGCGAGUGUAGAGGUGAAAUUCGUAGAUAUUCGCAAGAACACCAGUGGCGAAGGCGGCUGACUGGUCCGGUUCUGNNGCUGAGGCGCGAAAGCGUGGGGAGCAAACAGGAUUAGAUACCCUAGUAGUCC
rnacentral:rRNA from 1 species